ensembl:lncRNA
UGUGUGUGUGUGUGUAUAUGUGUGUGUGUAGAUGGAAUACUUCAGACAGAUACGUUACUGACGCUUCGUGGGAUGCAUUUAUUGCAAGAUGCUGUGCAGUGAGCUGUUCAUUGAUGUAAUGUUCCUGGUUUGCAAGUUUGCUCCACAAAAGUAAGUGGUCCAGGAAAUAUAUGAAAAUGAGGAUGUUCAUGAUUCAAUGUCCAAAACUAAAGCCUUCAGGAAGACAUUGCAAACACUUCUGGAGACUUUAAGAAACUGCCUUUGAGAAGAUAUCUGGCAAGGCGACCUACAGUAUGGCCUGGUUUAAAGGGAGCACGUUCAAACUACAGCAGUUUAAUGAUGCAUCUACCUUUUCCUGUGAAAUCUUCCUGUGUGUUGUACAUGCAUUUAAUUCACUGGAUUUGUUUUUUAUUGUUUAAAAAGAGAAAGUAGUCAUACUUAUACAGGUCCUUCUCAAAAAAUUAGCAUAUUGUGAUAAAAGUUCGUUAUUUUCCAU